GGCUGGUCUGAGUGCAGUGAUGUUUACAACUAAUUGAUCGCAACCAGUUACAGAUUUAUUUGUUCCUUCUUCACUCCCACUGCUUCACAUGAUAAACCUUUA
rnacentral:Y_RNA from 1 species